rnacentral:rRNA from 1 species
GACGAACGCUGGCGGCGUGCUUAACACAUGCAAGUCGAACGAAGUGGCGAACGGGUGAGUAAUACGUGAGUAACCUGCCCUCCUUUUUGGGAUAAGCCUUGGAAACGGGGUCUAAUACCGGAUAAAGGGGGAUGGGCUCGCGGCCUAUCAGCUUGUUGGGGGGGUGAUGGCCUACCAAGGCGGUGCCGGGUAGCCUGCCUGAGAGGGUGACCUGCCACAUUGGUACUGGGAUACGGCCCAGAGUCGUAAGGGAGGCAGCAGUGGGGGAUAUUGCACAAUGGGCGAAAGACUGAUGCAGCGACGCCGAGUGGGGGAUGAAGGCUUUCGGGUUGUAAACCUCUUUCGCUAUAGAACGGGUAGGUGGAGAAGAAGCGCCGGCUAACUACGUGCCAGCAGCAGCGGUAAUAC